rnacentral:rRNA from 1 species
CCCUUAGAUGUUCUGGACCGCACGCGCGCUACAAUGAUGAAUUCAACGAGUUUAUAACCUUGGUUGAAAAGCCUGGGUAAUCUUUUGAACUUUCGUCGUGAUGGGGCUAGACCCUUGCAAUUAUUGGUCUCCAACGAGGAAUUCCUAGUAAACGCAAGUCAUCAGCUUGCAUUGAUUACGUCCCUGCCCUUUGUACACACCGCCCGUCGCACCUACCGAUUGAAUGGUCCGGUGAAAUCUUCGGAUUGAGACUUUGAUUUCUUCACGGAAAACGCUGUUUUAAAAAGUUGAUUAAACCUUACCAUUUAGAGGAAGGUGAAGUCGUAACA